rnacentral:lncRNA from 1 species
GGUAGGUCACUCUUCCGGAGUGCUCCUUCCUCCAUUCAUGGGUGGAAGGAGAGGUUUUUCUUUCUUUCCUCCGAACGCAUGUGGGAAUUCGACCCCAGGUGGGGGCAGCUCCAGCUCAAGGCCGCCAACAAGCUCUCCAGACUUUCAGAGAGCGAGCAGAAGACCCUCGACGCUCUUUACAGCGUCGAGGAGAACAUUCUUUUGAACGACCUCCUGAGCGAGGUGGCUUUGGUGAAUGUCGGCCUGAGCUCGGCGCGCCCUCAGGGUAAGAGCGGUUAUGUGGCUCUGUUCUGUCGUCUUUUGUCUUAUUUGUUUUACUUUUUCUCUUUUUCUCUCUUUUCUCCCUUUUCCUUUCUUCUUUGGUGACAACCUGACAUCCCUGCUUCUCUUUUUUCGUCUUUUUAGAUAUUCCGGGGAUGGUGACCGGUAACGCAGCUCUUUACGCCCGGUACAAGAAAAAGGCG